GAGACACCCUUAUGGAGCAGGACUUGCUUCAGUGGGACUUUGAUACUCACUGAGUCUGCUCAUUGAGUGUCACUCA
rnacentral:pre_miRNA from 1 species